rnacentral:rRNA from 1 species
UACAGAGGGUGCGAGCGUUAAUCUGAAUUACUGGGCGUAAAGCGUGCGUAGACGGUUAUUUAAGUCGGGUGUGAAAGCCCCGGGCUCAACCUGGGAAUUGCAUUCGAGACUGAAUAGCUAGGGUACGGUAGAGGGAAGUGGAAUUUCCGGUGUAGCGGUGAAAUGCGUAGAUAUCGGAAGGAACACCAGUGGCGAAGGCGACUACCUGGCCUGUUCUUGACGCUGAGGCGCGAAAGCUAGGGGAGCAAACGGG